AUUGAACGCUGGCGGCAGGCCUAACACAUGCAAGUCGAGCGGAUGAAGGGAGCUUGCUCCUGGAUUCAGCGGCGGACGGGUGAGUAAUGCCUAGGAAUCUGCCUGGUAGUGGGGGAUAACGUCCGGAAACGGGCGCUAAUACCGCAUACGUCCUGAGGGAGAAAGUGGGGGAUCUUCGGACCUCACGCUAUCAGAUGAGCCUAGGUCGGAUUAGCUAGUUGGUGGGGUAAAGGCCUACCAAGGCGACGAUCCGUAACUGGUCUGAGAGGAUGAUCAGUCACACUGGAACUGAGACACGGUCCAGACUCCUACGGGAGGCAGCAGUGGGGAAUAUUGGACAGUGGGCGAAAGCCUGAUCCAGCCAUGCCGCGUGUGUGAAGAAGGUCUUCGGAUUGUAAGGCACUUUAAGUUGGGAGGAAGGGCAGUAAGUUAAUACCUUGCUGUUUUGACGUUACCAACAGAAUAAGCACCGGCUAACUUCGUG
rnacentral:rRNA from 1 species